UACGGCGGGUGCAAGAGUUAUUCGGAAUCACUGGGUUUAAAGGGUGCGUAGGCGGCUAAAUAAGUCAGAGGUGAAAGCUUGCAGCUUAACUGCGAAAUUGCCUUUGAUACUGUAUAGCUUGAAAGGAGCUGAGGUCAGCAGAAUGUGGCAUGUAGCGGUGAAAUUCAUAGAUAUGCCAUAGAAUACCAAUUGCGAAGGCAGCUGGCUGGGCUUACUUUGACGCUGAGGCACGAAAGCGUUGGGAUCGAACAGG
rnacentral:rRNA from 1 species